rnacentral:rRNA from 1 species
CGGCCGGGUCUAAGUAUAGCAUUAUACCGUGAAACUGCGAAUGGCUCAUUAAAUCAGUUAUCGUUUAUUUGAUAAUACCUUACUACUUGGAUAACCGUGGUAAUUCUAGAGCUAAUACAUGCUGAAAAUCCCGACUUCGGAAGGGAUGUGUUUAUUAGAUAAAAAACCAAUGCCCUUCGGGGCUUUUUGGUGAUUCAUGAUAACUUUACGGAUCGCAUAGCCUUGCGCUGGCGACGGUUCAUUCAAAUUUCUGCCCUAUCAACUUUCGAUGGUAAGGUAUUGGCUUACCAUGGUUUCAACGGGUAACGGGGAAUUAGGGUUCGAUUCCGGAGAGGGAGCCUGAGAAACGGCUACCACAUCCAAGGAAGGCAGCAGGCGCGCAAAUUACCCAAUCCCGACACGGGGAGGUAGUGACAAUAAAUACUGAUACAGGGCUCUUUUGGGUCUUGUAAUUGGAAUGAGUACAAUUUAAACCUCUUAACGAGGAACAAUUGGAGGGCAAGUCUGGUGCCAGCAGCCGCGGUAAUUCCAGCUCCAAUAGCGUAUAUUAAAGUUGUUGCAGUUAAAAAGCUCGUAGUUGAAACUUGGGCCUGGCUGGCGGGUCCGCCUCACCGCGUGCACUCGUCCGGCCGGGCCUUCCUUCUGAAGAACCUCAUGCCCUUCACUGGGCGUGCUGGGGAAUCAGGACUUUUACUUUGAAAAAAUUAGAGUGUUCAAAGCAGGCCUUUGCUCGAAUACGUUAGCAUGGAAUAAUAAAAUAGGGCGUGCGUUUCUAUUUUGUUGGUUUCUAGAGACGCCGCAAUGAUUAACAGGAACAGUCGGGGGCAUCAGUAUUCAGUUGUCAGAGGUGAAAUUCUUGGAUUUACUGAAGACUAACUACUGCGAAAGCAUUUGCCAAGGAUGUUUUCAUUAAUCAGUGAACGAAAGUUAGGGGAUCGAAGACGAUCAGAUACCGUCGUAGUCUUAACCGUAAACUAUGCCGACUAGGGAUCGGGCGAUGUUCUUUUUCUGACUCGCUCGGCACCUUACGAGAAAUCAAAGUUUUUGGGUCCUGGGGGACAU